GUCUAGCCGAGGGGAGGGGGUGGCGUGUGAGUGCGUGGAGGGUAAAAGCCAGUCAGUCAGUGAGAAGCAAAGAUCAACCACUUCAGAAGAACCCGAGUCCACUUCUGUGGCCAGGACUUUUAUGUUAUGGCUGGUCCGGUUGUUUAACCCUGCGUUCUAUGCUACUAAACUGUGGACCACUCCUAAAUUACAAAUUCUGUUCUCGAACCACAAACAAGGCUCAAAGAUCGGAGGCAUUUCAGUGAAUAUUCAGGAUUGGGAUUGUGUGUUUUCAACAGUAGUGAGCUUUACAAUACAAUGAUUCAGGGAAUAGGAUCAUUUUUCCCCCUUAGGAUGUUGCUAGGAUUUUAAGUUACAUGUUUAUUAGGGACAUGGUUCAAAUAACUAUAGAGUGUGUAUAGAACUAUUUGCUGUCUGAAUAGUUGGGAGAUUGAAAGAGAAAAAAGUAAGCUUUGGAACUAUAAAAUUAUUUCAUGCAGAAAGUUUUUUGUUUCCUUCUACCUGCAAGCAGCAUGCAUGUAAAUCAUACUUAAACUGUUAUAUGUCCUAGGCCCCACCUUAACAGUCGGGGUGUAUAGAACUGUAAUGGGAGAAGUAGAAUUUCAAUUAGGGUUCCAUGAACUGGCUAAUAGCCGUUCUAUAAUGUAACAGAGGCUGGUGUUGCUGUACAAAUCUGCUGGCUGCAGAUUUUAACCCAUUUUUCGUCACUUUCCUUGGAUAUAACGGCAUGACUGCUUAUUGUCUGUGCUAUUUCUACCAUCCAUCAUGAUUGUAAGGUCUGGAAUUAAGUCUAUUAAUGCUUAUCAUGAUUACUUGGCUCAUUCUGACUUUUAUGUACCAUAGAUGUUUCUACUUCUGUGUUUUCUUUAGUAUACAGAGGCAAAUAUGUGUGUGUGUGUAUAUAUAUAUAUGUAUAUGUAUAUAUGUAUAUAUAUAUAUAUAUAUGCAUAUAUAUAUGACUGGACCCAACUAAGCUGUGUUUAUGAUGGGAAGAAGAAUUCGACUGCAUCAAACCAGACUUUUCCUAGUCCCUGAGACCCUAACUUGUGAGGUAUUUUAGUAGCAUCACAAGUCAGGCUCUUGGGACCUAGGCGGAGGGGUACCAGCAGCUUUGGACUUUAUUGAUUGUCGGCAGUUACCACCAGAACAAAAGAACAGACAUAGAUUCUGCCUAGGAGGAAAGAACAAUGCUUUUCUUCCUAAUCAGCAAUGUUUCCAUCAUGGCCCAGCCCCAAAAUACAAUCGUCAGAAAUUGUAUUGUAAAGGGCAGACACGGUGGCACUUAAUGGCAUGUAUAUUAUAGUAUAAUGAUCCUAUAGAAGCAAUGUAAGGUGUCGAUGUAAGAAGCACAAUAACAGCACCAGUAUUUUUUUUAAAUGCUGCUUUUUGUUGUAUGUUAAAGUGAUCAGUGUAAGAGAAUAUCUCAAUUAAUGAAAAAAGUUGUUUAUGUUUUGAACUUUCACAUGCAUAGAAUUUAUACAUUAGCCACUUAAAUAAAUCCUAUAUGUCUUCAUAUGAUGUGGCUCCAAAUGCAUUAUAUACUUUUCUAAUAAUUCUUCAGGCCUAGGGAUAAAAUGUUUUACCAUCUUGUUUCAUGACCCUGUUAGAUAUUACUUCCAAUGUAAAGAGAAUGUUGUUUUAUACAAAUUGUUUUUGUUUCUCGUUUUUAUUUUUAAUCUUCUACCCACACAAAACACUCUAUAUGUAUUAAUAAUGCCCUUGUAUGAAAGUCUCCAAGUACAUAUUUGGGGAAAUACAAUACCAUUUAGUUUUCACAUUUUACUUGGUAUUUAUCAUGGAGCUAUAUGAGCUAAAGCAGUAACCUGACCUAGUUUGUCUAUAAACUGCAUCUGAAUUAGAGUUUGAUCAGAAUUUUAGUCAUUUCACAAGAAAUUAUUCCAACUAAAACUAAUGUGACUUAUUUGAACAUUCCUUAAUCAUAGACAUAUCAGAUAGGUAUUUUUUGGAAAUAGACUUGAUACACUAAAUCUUUAAAAAAAUUACAAUAAUGUAACAAAAAUCAAAAUUCAAAAUGGAGACGACUUUUCCUAAUAAAAGAAGCAAAGAGACUUCAAUGUUUCAGUUCCACUGCUGUAUGUGCAUACCAUAUAUUGUUUUAUUAUUGAAAUAAACUAAUGAAUACA